AUGUACGUUGUCCGGCUCACCAAACUAGAUGUUAGCGGGGUGGAUGUCAAGAUCCCGUACACGCUGCACGCCGGAAACGCGUUGUUCGUGCUCGGCACCAUGUUCACCUACCUGAAGCCGGAGACCUAUACGGUUCUUCGUGAGCAGUUCAAGUCGCAGAUGACGGAGUACCGCGUGGCGCCGUCGAUGGGCGGCCUCGACACCUGCUACAACUUCACUGGUCUGACGAGAAUGAGUAUGCCAUCCAUCACACUAUGGUUCGAAGGAUGGGCAUAUAUUGUCCCCGGCAUGGAACAAAUGAUGUAUUUUGGGCGUCGGGGAGAUAUCUUCUCCGUUGGGUGCCUCGCAUUUGCUGCGGCAUCGGACUUACCUCCAGGGAUCACUGCAGUCAUCGGCACCCUGCUGCAGGAGAGGACAGAGGUGGUGUAUGACGUUCAUGGAGGGAAGAUGGGGUUUUCCCAUAAACAAUGCUGGUGA
rnacentral:rRNA from 1 species